CAAAGGUUUGGUCCUAGCCUUGCUGUCUACUGUUACUCGACCUACACAUGCAAGCAUCAACACACCCGUGAGAACGCCCUCCACCCCUUAACAGGACGAGGAGCUGGUAUCAGGCACAGAACAUCUUGCCCACAACACCUAGCCCCGCCACACCCUCAAGGGUCCUCAGCAGUGAUAAACAUUGAUAAUAAGCGCCAGCUUGAAUCAGUUAGAGUAACCCAGAGCCGGCCAACCCGGUGCCAGCCGCCGCGGCUACACCAUCGGGCUCAAGUUGACAGCCACCGGCGUUAAGCGUGAUUAAAGUGAUAAUACAAAUUAGAGUUAAACUUAAGCCAAGUUGUGACACACUUGCUUCAAAGAAACCCCAAAUCGAAAGCUACUCUAACACACCCACUUGAAUACACGACAGCUAGGACACAAACUGGGAUUAGGUACCCCACUAUGCCUAGCCGUAAAAUAUUAAUUUACACCCCAAUCGCCAGGGAAUUACGAGCCCAAGCUUAAAACCCAAAGGACUUGACGGUGUCCCACCCACCUAGAGGAGCCUGUUCUAUAAUCGAUUUUCCCCGAUAAACCUCACCACCCCUUGCCUCCCAGCCUGUAUACCUCCGUCGAAAGCUUACCUUGUGAACGCCAACCAGUGAGCUCAAGGACCAUCCGUCAACACGUCAGGUCAAGGUGCAGCCAAUGAGGUGGAAAGCAAUGGGCUACAAUUUCUAGUUUAGAACAAACGAAAGACCACAUGAAACACAGUCAUGAAGGCGGAUUUAGUAGUAAAAAGAAAAUAGAGAGUUCUUUUUAAUAAGGCCCUGGGACGCGUACACACCGCCCGUCACCCUCUUCAAAUGCCCCCCCACAAGUUUUUAACAACAUACAGCUAUUCAGAAGAGGUAAGUCGUAACACGGUAAGCGUACUGGAAAGUGCGCUUGGAAUAA
rnacentral:ncRNA from 1 species